CGGGAAACCGGGGCUAAUACCGGAUAAUACAUGAAACCGCAUGGUUUCAUGAUGAAAGACGGUUUUGCUGUCACUUAUAGAUGGACCCGCGGCGUAUUAGCUAGUUGGUAAGGUAACGGCUUACCAAGGCAACGAUACGUAGCCGACCUGAGAGGGUGAUCGGCCACACUGGAACUGAGACACGGUCCAG
rnacentral:rRNA from 1 species